rnacentral:rRNA from 1 species
CCCUUAGAUGUUCUGGGCUGCACACGUGCUACACUGGCAGGUUCAGCGAGCUUCAUGCCCUGAUCUGAAAGGAGUGGGAAAUCUUUUCAAAACCUGCCGUGCUUGGGAUAGAUGUUUGCAAUUAUUCAUCUUCAACGAGGAUUGCCUUGUAAGCGCACGUCAUCAGCGUGCAUUGAAUACGACCCUGUAUUCUGUACACACCGCCCGUCGCUCCUACCGAUUGAAGUUUUCGGUGAGUUGACAGGAGGAUUUUUUUGAAACUGGUUCGCCAGUGGAUUUUAGAUCCAAAUGCCAACGAAUCGAUGGCUUUAGAGGAAGGAGAAGUCGUAACA